ensembl:snoRNA
AUUGAAAAUGCUUCAUAGAGUAACUAUGUGUUUUGCUUUACUUACAGAACCAACUAUUAGAUCUGUGGCAAAGAACUAUAAGACAUAG